CAGCAGCCGCGGGAACACGAAGGGUGCAAGCGUUACUCGGAAUUACUGGGCGUAAAGCGUGCGUAGGUGGUGGUUUAAGUCCGUUGUGAAAGCCCUGGGCUCAACCUGGGAAUUGCAGUGGAUACUGGGUCACUAGAGUGUGGUAGAGGAUAGUGGAAUUUCCGGUGUAGCAGUGAAAUGCGUAGAGAUCGGAAGGAACAUCUGUGGCGAAGGCGACUAUCUGGGCCAACACUGACACUGAGGCACGAAAGCGUGGGGAGCAAACAGGAUUAGAUACCCCUGUAGUCCCUGUCUCUUAUAC
rnacentral:rRNA from 1 species